AUGAGCAAAGGCCUUAGACUACCUGAGGGCAAGUUUUACCUAGUUGCUGGGGGUUAUGCAAACACCCAGUCAUUUCUGGCACCUUAUUGGGCCAUUUGGUACCACUUGAAGGAAUUUGGGCAUGGACACACUCGGCCACAAAACCAUAGGGAAUUGUUCAGUCAUCGACAUGUUGUUCUAUGUAACCAUGUGGAAAGGUCCAUAGGAAUUCUUAAGAAGUGCUUCCCAAUUCUUCAUGUUGGCACACUACAUACAAUCGAGAACCAAGUGAAACUUCCCGCGGUUGCCGCGGUUCUUCACAAUAUCAUCAAAAUGGAUAAUGGUGAUGAGACUUGGCUUGACAACCAACCCAAUAACAUAGCACCAAAUGAUUUUGUUGAUCUCCCAAAUGGUAAUGAGAAUAACUAUGGGAACAACGGCUUAGGGAACACUCUGAGGGAAGAAAGCUAA
rnacentral:rRNA from 1 species